rnacentral:lncRNA from 1 species
AUGGUUGUAUUUAUUAAAAACCUUAGAGAGAUUAGUAAAAUUUAUCCUUUUAAAUAUUGUUACAAAUGAAAAAAUAUGUUCAAUUUUUAUGGUCAUACAGUAGGCAAAGAAUAUCUAGUUGAAUAUUAUAAGUAGACAUUUGAGUUUUAUCGUUACCUUUCAAAGUUGAAAUCAUGGAACCAUCUCUAGUGGUAAGGCAGUAUGUCAAUCAUUAUGUCCAUCAUUAGACCUACUCUUUGAUCUUAGAAAAACCCCACUAUAAUGGGAGAAAUAUUUUCGAACAUUGCCUUGGGAGAUGAUUUAUCCUCUUGACCUCCUAGUUGAGAACGUGUGAAGGUGACCAAAUAAGCUAACUUAAUUGAUUAUUAAAAAAAUAUUUCAAAAGAUCAAUAUGUUUAUUGGUCGACCUCCCGUCAAUCUCAAACAAACUUUUUUCAUUAUAAGUUCGAAUAGAUUGGUUAAUUUGUGUAGAUAAAAUUUAUCGAGUCGAGCCGUGACUGCAAAACAUAUUCAAAAUUAUUUAGGUAAUGAGAUAAUCUGAAAUAAGUUUUUUCUUUCUUUAAUGUACUAAAUGUCAGUAAGGGUUGUCAACGGGUUGGGUUUGGUUGGGCUGACUCAGUCUAUUUUUUAUCGGGUCGAGUUGGAUUCGGGCCGAGCUCAAUGGGUUUUGAUCGAUCAACGGGCCCGCCCAUGGAACCUGACAAAGUGAAGACCCAAGUGCUGUCUAGGAAUCCCCCCCUUUGGGGGGGGGCCUCGGGCCUUAAAAUAUUUUUUUUUAAAAUAUAUUUUUUGGGAAAAUAAUUUUUGCCACUCCGUUUUUUACCAAAUACACUUCUUUGUUUGUCCAUGAGUAUGGAUUGUUUUUAUAAUUUAUGUUGCACUUCUUUUUUAAUCAAAUACACUCUAUAUAAGAACAAAAAAUAGAGUGCAUUUGGUAAAAAAGGGAAGUUUUGUAGAAAGCAUUUUCCUAAUUUUGUAUUCCAAAUUAAAAGAUUAAAAAUAUCAAAAAUAAAAAAAUUAAUACGUAAUUACGUGAAAUUAUCUACAAAUAUUAAUUGUUUACAUAUAAAAUAUUAUAAAAAAUUAAUGCAUUUAGGGUGGGCCACGGGCCAAGCCUUCGAGUUAGGUCACGAACUUCAAAAUUGGGCUCAGAUUCAGCCCAUACUAUCUCGGGAUUGGGCCCUCCGGGCCAAAGCUCAUUGAGUCAGGCCGAACCAUAGGUUACGAGCUUUUUGAUAACCUUAAACGCAAGUCAACUCCGUAUAAUUUGGUUAGGAUUUACUGGUCCUAUCUCCAAGAAGAAAUAUUCCCAGGAUGGUUUAUGACGAGGCAAUUUCCCUUAGAAGUGAGGAAAACAAUUAUUGCUUUGGAGGUCUAAAAUGAGUUGGUGCAUCAUUAAUGUCCCCCCACUUGGGUAGAAAUGCCACCAGUCUCAUUGAAAAGUAAUCAAGACUUAUCUUUGGUUGUAGGAAGUUUUAAGUCCUUUGAAUAACGAUGCCAAGGUGUUGAUGAUUUUGUUUGUGGAAUGUUGAGCGCUUAACAGGCCUGUUCAUUCUGGCUUGGAAUGGGGUUGAUGGAAUAUUAAUGUCACCCCCACUUGCAGAGAGUCCACCGGGCUCAUGGGAAAUAGGUGUGUAUCACAAGACUAGAUUUGAUCGCGUACGUGCUCGGAAAAAAAAAUAAUAUAAUACACGUCGCAUGCUAUUUAUAUUUAUUGUAGUGGUUGAGAUUGCGUUAUGUGAUCAUCUUUAACUUGUCAAAUCCGUCAUCUUGUAGGUUAACUAAAUUAAAUUAUAAUUUAAUUAUAAAUUCUCAUAAAAUUAAUUUUUGAUUAAUAACAUAGCCACAAAUUUUUAUAAAAUGUCUAUGAUUAUAUUCAUAAGACUUCAUAAAUGAUCCAUAAAGAUUCAUAAAACUUAUCAAACAUACCAUAAAAUUCAUAACAAAUUUAUUCCAAAUAGACCUCUCAUCAAAUACCAACAAAAAUUAUUAUGAAAUCCAAUACAAGUAAUAAUUUCUUCGUAAAUUUCCUGUUUGUCCGUUGCUGCUCUGCAGCUUUUGUUUUAACAAAGUUAUAACAAUUCAGAAUUGUACUGUCAUAAUCAUUUUGCAAAUGCUUGGUCUGGAUUACGGGCGUUACUUCCAGCUGAUUUUUGCAGCAGAAAAUAAUACAUAAAUUCUGUGAUAUAGUGGUAAGUUUAAAGUAAUUUCUCAGCUUAACGAAUUUUAGUGCAAGAGAACGAAUGGAAAUGCCUGCUUCAUAUGCAUUCCGGAAUUCUAUAUAUUGUAGUAACACUACAGAAUUAUUGGUGAGAAUAUCGAAGUUUAAUGUUAAUAAGUUAUAGAGUUCCCGUAAAAGUAUCACGAAGUUAUUUCCUACUCAAUUCAAGACUCGACUCAAUCAGAAAUAACUUCUAACUCGCUAUUAAAAGGUCUUCCACCCAUUGCUCCCCUUGCCUCCGUAUUUGUGGAGCCAAAUGGGUAAGGAGCACAGUGGGAGAGUGCCUCCAUCUCCUUCCAUCAGUUGCCACCACACUUUCAUCGAUGGCGGUCCUUGGGUUACCACUGUAUGCACCAAUUCCAAUAAUCGUUAGUUUUCUUACACUCGUCGCGUCCCCGUUCUUCCUUGAUCUGAAUUCCUAGCUCUACUCCUUGUAUCCAAACGGUUGUAAUCCAUCGUGGAAAUUAAUGAUUGGCUUGUGUCCUUGUGCAGCUGCGUUGCUGCGUCCCUCCAACCAGGUCCAGCAACGCCUUCUCAAAACUAUAUACUUCGUGGAUUUGUAGGAUACCUUCCCAAAGUUCCUAGAGAGACAACCUUCGGGUGCAAUAUAGCCUCACGGUGCCUCUAGCAGCCGUCAUGGAUACACACUUUGUUCCUUUGAAACACAAUUUUGGCUAGGCCAAAAUCAGAUAUCUUGGGGUUGAACUUGUUGUCCAACAAGAAUGUUAUGAGGUUUAAUAUCAAAGUGAACAUCCGUGAUCGUCAGCCUACGUGAAGGUAUUCAAUUCCUUUGGCUAUGCCAAGAGCAAUAUCUUUCAGCUUCUCCGCAACCAAGGAACGCCUUUCUUGGUGGCAGAAGAUAUGAAUUUUCGAGUGGAUUUGUUUUGGGUAGAACUCAUAAAGUAGAGCUCUUCGAAAGUCCAUUUGCACAGUAUCCUCCAAGCGAACCAACAAUUGAUAUGGUGGAAUUCUACCCAUUGUUCCCACUUCAUUGAGGAACUCAAUCCCAUUUCCUUUUCACAGCUGUUGAGGAUCUUGACAGCAAAUGACAUCACUGGAAACUUUCCCUUGUACACUGUUCCAAAACCACCUCGCCUCUUUUUCUUUGAAACUGAUUCCGUAAGGUUUCUUGAAUAUCUGCAUAGAGUAUCUUGACGCUUGAAGAGCUUCGUAAUCCCCAAAAAUCUUGUAAUCCUUUUCACUUGAUCCUCUUUCUUUAUUUUGCUUGAUCUGUAGACAAGAUAUUUGCAACGACAGUUUGCUACAACAAAAAGAGACAGAACCAGCAUCCAAACUGGCAAUUCAAAAUUCAAAAUAUACCAAGUCAAGAAAUUUCUGCGUCUCUCCUCAACGAUAAUUGGAAUUAAGGGACGCUACAAAAGUCCACCUUCAACCUUAGUUUCCAGAUCAAUCUGUAAAAAAAGUUUUUAAGACUUGUUACACUACCGAGCUUGUGAAGUUCAUUACUUAUAGCCAACAAGAACGCUGCAAAUAGAGGAGCCUCAGAAGAGAUUCAAAUACUAAACAAGGAAGUUUUCAGUAUGCGGUGCAAGACAUAUAUGGGACUCGUUCUGAAGAUAGUCAAGAAGUAGUAAAACAGCCGAAGUACCGGGAGGUUGUAGGUUUGGGCUUUGUCAAAGCAUUCAGUUUUUCAUGUUUCCUGCGUUUGUUAUUCUUCAUCUACAUACUUGCCUCCUGCGCACAGUUCCCAAAGUCGGCUGGUCGCAAUUCAAUGGAAGAUACAAAAUCUCUGAUUGUCAAAUAUGUUCCAUUGAAGUGUCAUGUCAUACAUCUUCCUGCAAGGUAUUGGAGCGCACUGAAAUGAAGAUUGGGCAUAAACUUUGUCGCCAAGGCAAGCAGCUGAAUUCCAAAUAACCUCUUUUCUCCUGGGGGAGUUAGACUUGGGAACAAUUGAGGAAGCUAAUUCUUCGUAGUAGUGGUGGAUUGGGUUGUCGUAAUCUAUGUGAAUUGGAAGGGAGAGAUAACUGAGGUUUUUGUAAAGAGUUUUUGGCAAUCAGCCAUGGAGCUUGAGACGAUAAUCGUUUGAGAUUGGUAGUUGAUUUCAAUGAACAGAUACCUUGACGGAGAAUUGGAGCUCAAGCACAGGGUGUUUGCUUUUGAUCCAUUACAAGAAAUAUCAAUCCAGGAUAGCCACAGUGCUCGGGCUUGAUGCCCCCCCUUUUAAUCUCGGAAAGGGAAUGCGGUUGUUGGCCAUGGUUUCCUGCAUUGUGGGCAUGCACUUUCAUCCUCUUGUUCUGGUACUGCCAUAGCGGUGUUCCUGGCGAGGACAGGAGCAGGAGCAGGAAUUGGGAAGUAAGGCAUCUUUUUUGGUAAGUCUCUAGAGUUUCCGAUCAGAGAUAAUAUUAGCUCGAGGGUAUGUAAGUUCACAAUUUCCUUACUCUUUGGAGCACAAACAUAAUUUAGCUUAGCUGAAAUGAAAUACAUUCAAUUGAAAGGAGCUCUUGUAGUUUGGUCCAUGGCUUAUUGUCACGGUUCCUAGCCUAUCUUUGACUGACUUGGUCCCUACCUAUGUUGAUUGACCGACUUGGGCAAUAAUUUCCAGAUAAAAACGUUGUUAGCCACAUGUUUAGCGUUGUGGCAACCAUUCCACAAGUGGGUAGGGGUCAUGAUUUUGCUUCUUGCGUUUCUUCUAAAUUAUAUUCGUGAUUUCGUUCCUUUUGUUAAGCCGACUCCGUGGAAAGGUUUCAUUCUAAAGCUGCUCUUUGCCCUUGUUCUUGUGCUCUGUUCUGUAACUUGCCAUGGAACGCAAACAGCCACAUCUUCUUGCGGAGAUAUCCAUAACUCAGCUUCCCCUUUCGACCUUGAAAACCGACCCAGAUGUAUCUGUGAAUGGGGAUUUGAUCUUUCGUGCGAGAACAACCGUGCAGUACUGAACGUUAAACCUUGGAAAAUACUACGUGGCAGGCCAUCGACUACAACCGCCGCACAAUUCGCUCGUCGAUGUAGCAAUACGGGCGAAUGAUUGUUCCACUCCCUUCCUCUUCAUGUCCUAAUUGACGUUUUUUUAUUCAUUUGGAUAAACAUACAGCACUAGUAGUCUGAAUUGGCUGUGUUCGUGAGUUGUGAAAAUGGCAGUGAGUCUUCUCGCAAUACCUGCCUAGACCAUUCCCUGCUGCUUGUGAAAAUUCACACUGGUUCCUCCAACCUUUCUGCAAAGCAAUAUUCCUAUGUUCUGGUCGGAUACGUGAGGCCGGCAAUAUCCAAACUUGUGCAACGUGGACGUGAUUGGCUCCCGUUUCUGGUAUAAAUAAGCAGAACAUUUCCUUCUCGUCCAUCCACAAUGGGUUUGGGCUCAUGGAUUUUGAGCUACUUGGAAUUACAUGCUCAAAACUUGCAUUCGACAGCAAUGCUCGAGAGCCAAAAUCUCGCUGCCAAUUGCGCAAUUUUAUAUAUCGUUUCCUUUAGCCUCCAUGAUACUGUUUACAUUUCUGGGCGUAUUCAGACUUUCUGAUCCUAAAUGCUAAAUUAAACUUCACCUUGGAAUUUUGGACUUUAGGCCUAUAUUCUACUCCUCUCCUAAUUAGAUGGUACAAAGCUUGUGUCUCAUGUCUGUACCAUCAAGUCUUUUCUUGUGACUUAUUAAUUGUUCCUUGCUGUUGGUUAAUGGAAAGACGAAAGAAAUUUUUUUUUGGAUUAAAGUCGUCUAAGCGGAUUGUUCGUACUGAUCAAGUCUAACAUGAUCUCUGUUGCAAGUUGUGGAUAUCCAAUUGCAUUAUUAUUGCCUUCCAAGAUGCCUUCCUGGCCGGAUAGGGGAAAUGCUAAUUAAAGCUUAUUUUGCAUUUAGUUGAUCUUCAUUACUGGGUUUUGUUUUGUUGUUUUUUUACUGGUCUAGCGCACAGUUGACUCUUACUUUUAUUUAUGUUGUAGGAUUGAGUUUUUCUCGUAACCGGAAAAAAAAUUAGUAAGACUCCAAUCUUAAUUUGUGGUAGUUGAUAUUCAUCUUUCUCUUACUGUUUUAUUUUAUUUCCUAGAUUAAAUCAAUUACAAAGCUGAAUCUUACUAUCGUUUGGUAGUUUUUUGUUUUACAUGACCCUUUGGCAUUGGUGAAUGGACCUCUCUUUUUAAUUUCCUCUGCUUCAUAAAUAAACCAAUCAUGAAAAAAAAUAAUCUGGAAUAGGACACCGAAGGGCCAAAGAAUGCAUCGUUCUAAAUGAAUCUUUCCUUGCACGAACCAAUUUAUUUUGCCAUUUAGUGAUGAUGGCUGGACAAAGAAUUUUUUUCUUGAAAUUGGGAGGUGUGUUUGUAUCUGACUCCCUUACGUAGGCUAGUCACGAGUUAAGUCCUAGGGGGGGUGGGCAUGAAUUUGGGUUGUUGGAUUAGAGGAUCGGAAGAAUAGGAGUUGAAAUCAAUCACAAACCCGAGUAACGCCUGGGUGGUUCUGAAUUGGUCUGUAGUUCCACCUAAAUUUGAGAAAACUUGUAAAUAUCAUUACAAAACCAAAACUUAGAAAAUAGUUUGUAGCGUGAUAUCGUUUGUGUUGUGCUCAAAGAAAUAAUUAUCACUACACCACCACACAAAAGACAACCAACCGAUUUACGUAGUUCGGCGAGGAGAGAAAUCACAAUCCAUUAUCAACGAAUGGAUUACAACGGAGGAGACGUUCGAUCGCUUACCUCACCCCUCUCUCACAAUCUCUCUUCUGUCUUGCAUCUCAAUAUAACCUCGACAGCAAUCUGCUCUCAGCCCUCAGCAAACACACAUAGAAACUCGAAGCACCCUACAUCCCUUUAUUAGACAAGGAAAGGAGGUGUUCAACUCCUAAACAAAAACACCUAAGUUAUCCUAAUCUAACAGGAAAACAAAUAGAUAAAGACUCUCCAAGAGUGAGAUUAACUCGAGAGUUUCGUUCAACGUCACAUGGACAUCAUGUCCAUAAUGAGCUCAAUGGGCUUGGGCUUGGGCUUGGAUAAGGGAACUUGGACUCAUCAAGUGUGGUGCUUGGACUCAUCCAGAUGGGCUGGACCAACAAUCUCCACCUUCCAAGCCCACUAGAGGGUAAUCUGACGUUUUCAAGUUAUCCUUCCUGACAGCUUCUGAUCCCGCUCCCCAUAAAUCUGCAAGAUCGCAUCCGAGAUACCUAGUCUCAUCAAUGGGCUACUCCACUUCCCACCGAAGUGUAUGCACCUCCACACUAAGUGCCUGCCCUUCUCACCGACGCCUUGUAACACCCACCGGGUGCCUCUCUAACCGGUGUGCGGGCGCGUGUGUCCUCCCCGUGCGCGUGACAAGCAGGCGUGGACCUCCCUAUGCGCUGGCUGAGACUGAAUUCCUCCGCCGAUGUUCAAACGGCCGCGUGAGGGUACGUCCGGACUUCCGUUCUGACGGCUAAUUGGUGCUGGAGCUCCGAUAUUCACAAGAGGAAAAACCUAUGUAAUCAAAAUUAAUUUAAGAGCACUUUCACGGACACCCGAAUUUUGACGCUGGGCUCCGAAUCGCCUCCAUGUAACUCUGAUACAAUUGUGUGCUCAAAACUAGAUAUUAUCAAUCACACACAUAGCACAAAAGACAACAAAGAUUUACGUGGUUUCGGCCACCGAUACCUACGUCCACGGAGAAGAAAUCACACAAUCCACUAUUAAACGAAUGAUUACAAUGGAGGAGAUCGAUCGCCACUCACACCACCCUCUCUCACAAUCUCUCUCUUCUUGCCUCUUAAUCUACCCGCAACAAACAAUCUGCUCUCAGCCCUCAGCAAACCACAUAGAAAAUAAAUCUAAGCACCCUAACCAUCCCUUUAUACACCAAGGAAUGAGGUGUUCAACUCCUAACAAAACCCUAAUUGUUACCUAUCUAACUAGGAAAACAAAUAGACAUAGACUCUCCAAAGUUUCUAGAUAACUCGAGAGUUUUCAUCACCGUCACAUAGACAAUCCAUAUGACUCCAUCAGGGCUUGGGCUUGGCUACUGACUUGGACUUGGAUUCAUCCAAGUGGGCUUGGACUCAUCCAGAUGGGCUGGACUCAACAGUUUGGCAAAUCCAUUAUAACUAUAGCAAUUAUAGUACAAGUUCACCGGCAAUAAAGGUCAAACCUAAAACCUUUUUUUCAGUUAGAAGGAAAGAAAUGGGUUAGGGUGUCUGAUCUUAUUGAAGGUGCGCAUAAUAUCUUUAGAAUGGGUUGGGAUGAUCCAGUUGAUUUCUUUUUAGGCCUUCGGUAAGACUAAUUGAAAUUAAUGCUUCUUUAAGUGUUGGUUGAUCUUCCCUCACUACUUUUUUUUGUGAUUUUUUUCUUUACUAACUGCUUUAUCGUAUGACUGAAUCUCUUUCCUAUCUUUCAUUGUCUUAGCGGUUAUUUUCUUAAUAGUCUAUGGUAAGACCAAUUAUCUCUCAAUUUCUCCCUCUUCACUAUCAAUUAAUGAAAAUUAUAUAGGAAGGAAAUGAGGAACUAAAUAUAAUGCGUUAUGGGUAAAGAAAAAUAUGAAUUUUGACCACAAUAUUCGCUCCCAUCAUAAUAGUUUGUCCAUCUUUUCAACUUGAAAUAUCCCAAGAUAUAUGUUCCCUUCGAAAAAUCAAAGCAUAAAACUUGUUAGUAUUUCUAAACUAUGCCUUACAAGUGGUUGUGGAGAUAUAGGGGAAAUUCUUGGAAGUCACUACUUUUUGAUUUGUUUUUGAAAAUGCAUGUUCUUGCAAAAGGUUGUAACUCUGUAAAGGGACAAAUAAAUUGAGUUGGAGGGAGUAUCUUGCAAAUUUGGUGAUAGCGUCUAGGCAAAUUUUUUCCUCUUCUUAUUGGUUAAUCUUGUGAUUUUUUUCAUAUGACAGGGUUGGGGGUGAUGCUUGUAAUUACGACUUAUAUGAAAAACCAUGUGUGUGUGGGGUUUUUUUUUUAAUCUAUAAGUUUAGAAGAAGAAAUUAUCCAUGUUUGAUAGCCAUCGAAGGUUUCCUACGAAAAGCCAGAAUAACUCAUGCCAAUUAGCUACUCUUAUCAGACAAAGAAAAUGACCAAAGGUUUCAAGGGACAAGUUGCAAAGGAGGUACGGUUUGGUAUAUAAAGGAAAGAUUAGAAGUGGCCGUCUUGUAGCGAUAAGGUAUUGGGCAAGCCCAAAGCCCAAUGGGCAAGAAUUCAUCAAUGAUGAAGUGCACCAUAGGACGGAUUCAUCACACUAAUGUGGUUCACAAAAACUAGUUGGAUAUUGUGCUGAGCGAUCUAAGGUGCUCUUGUUUACGACUUCAGCCUAAUGGGUCUCUUUGAAAAAGUACAUCUUUCUCAAGCAGGAAACUAUCUCCUUGCGUGCGAGCAAAUUAUGAGAUCUCUCUUGGAGUGGCUGCGGGAUUGAAUAUUUGCACGGGGUUGUGUGUGACAUUGCAGAGAUCCUGCAUUUUGAUAAUCAAGCCUCCACAACAUUCUACUUGACGAGGAUUUUCACUCCUAAAGUUUCUGACUUUGGGCUUGCAAAAUGUAUCCAAAAACGGGAGGAUAGCAUCGUGUCGCUAACUGCAGCAAGAGGAACAAGGGUAUAUGGCUCCAAAAUUGUUUUACAAAAACAUUGGAGGGGUUUCGUUACAAAGCUUGAUGUGAUAGUUUUGGAAUGUUGUGAUUGGAAAUGGUAGGAGGCGGAGGACCAUUUUAAAUGACCUUGAUGAUCAUACAAGCCAAAUUACUUCCCUUCGUGGAUUUACGACCAAUCAAUGAGGGAGAGGGCCAUAGAAAAUGGGAGAGACCAGAAGAGGAAAGGGUGAUGGGCAGAAGAUGGGACUAGUAGCUUUAUGGUGCAUACAAAUGAAGCUAGUGAACGUCCUCGAUGGACAAAGUGUUAAGAUGC